rnacentral:rRNA from 1 species
GAACCGCAUGGUUCAAAAGUGAAAGACGGUCUUGCUGUCACUUAUAGAUGGAUCCGCGCCGCAUUAGCUAGUUGGUAAGGUAACGGCUUACCAAGGCAACGAUGCAUAGCCGACCUGAGAGGGUGAUCGGCCACACUGGAACUGAGACACGGUCCAGACUCCUACGGGAGGCAGCAGUAGGGAAUCUUCCGCAAUGGGCGAAAGCCUGACGGAGCAACGCCGCGUGAGUGAUGAAGGUCUUCGGAUCGUAAAACUCUGUUAUUAGGGAAGAACAUAUGUGUAAGUAACUGUGCACAUCUUGACGGUACCUAAUCAGAAAGCCACGGCUAACUACGUGCCAGCAGCCGCGGUAAUACGUAGGUGGCAAGCGUUAUCCGGAAUUAUUGGGCGUAAAGCGCGCGUAGGCGGUUUCUUAAGUCUGAUGUGAAAGCCCACGGCUCAACCGUGGAGGGUCAUUGGAAACUGGGAAACUUGAGUGCAGAAGAGGAAAGUGGAAUUCCAUGUGUAGCGGUGAAAUGCGCAGAGAUAUGGAGGAACACCAGUGGCGAAGGCGACUUUCUGGUCUGUAACUGACGCUGAUGUGCGAAAGCGUGGGGAUCAAACAGGAUUAGAUACCCUGGUAGUCCACGCCGUAAACGAUGAGUGCUAAGUGUUAGGGGGUUUCCGCCCCUUAGUGCUGCAGCUAACGCAUUAAGCACUCCGCCUGGGGAGUACGACCGCAAG